CCUACGGGAGGCAGCAGUGAGGAAUAUUGGUCAAUGGGCGCGAGCCUGAACCAGCCAAGUAGCGUGAAGGAUGACUGCCCUACGGGUUGUAAACUUCUUUUAUAAAGGAAUAAAGUGAGGCACGUGUGCCUUUUUGCAUGUACUUUAUGAAUAAGGAUCGGCUAACUCCGUGCCAGCAGCCGCGGUAAUACGGAGGAUCCGAGCGUUUUCCGGAUUUGUUGGGGUUAAAGGGAGCGUAGAUGGGUUGUUAAGUCAGGUGUGAAAGUUUGCGGCUCAAACGUAAAAUUGCAAUUGAUACUGGCAGCCGUGAGUACAGUUGAGGUAGGCGGAAUGCGUGGUGUAGCGGUGAAAUGCUUAGAUAUCACGAAGAACUCCGAUUGCGAAGGCAGCUUACGAAACUGCCACUGACAUUGAUGCUCGAAAGUGUGGGUAUCAAACAGGAUUAGAUACCCUGGUAGUC
rnacentral:rRNA from 1 species